rnacentral:rRNA from 1 species
UACGUAGGGUGCAAGCGUUAAUCGGAAUUACUGGGCGUAAAGCGUGCGCAGGCGGUUUUGUAAGUCAGAUGUGAAAUCCCCGGGCUUAACCUGGGAACUGCGUUUGAAACUACAAGGCUAGAGUGUGACAGAGGGGGGUGGAAUUCCACGUGUAGCAGUGAAAUGCGUAGAUAUGUGGAGGAACACCGAUGGCGAAGGCAGCCCCCUGGGUCAAAACUGACGCUCAUGCACGAAAGCGUGGGGAGCAAACAGG